GGCGCAGCUGGUCGGGUGGCAGUUCGGCGAUGGGGACGCCGCCGACGGUGACGCUGCCGGCGGUGGGCCGUUCGACGCCGGCGAUGAGCCG
rnacentral:tRNA from 1 species